UGGGGAAUAUUGGACAAUGGGCGCAAGCCUGAUCCAGCCAUGCCGCGUGAGUGAUGAAGGCCCUAGGGUUGUAAAGCUCUUUCACCGGUGAAGAUAAUGACGGUAACCGGAGAAGAAGCCCCGGCUAACUUCGUGCCAGCAGCCGCGGUAAUACGAAGGGGGCUAGCGUUGUUCGGAUUUACUGGGCGUAAAGCGCACGUAGGCGGACUUUUAAGUCAGGGGUGAAAUCCCGGGGCUCAACCCCGGAACUGCCUUUGAUACUGGAAGUCUUGAGUAUGGUAGGGGAAGGCGGAAUUCCAAGUGUAGCGGUGAAAUGCGCAGAUAUUUGGAAGAACACCGGUGGCGAAGGCGGCCUUCUGGGCCACGACUGACGCUGAGGCGCGAAAGCUAGGGGAGCGAACAGG
rnacentral:rRNA from 1 species